GUCUUUGUUUAGAACCAAAUGAUAGUGUGUCUGUGUGUAUAUCUAAUUGUUAUUGUGUCUUUGUGUACAUCUAACUAUUAGUGUGUGUCUUUGUUUAGAACCAAAUGUUAGUGUGUCUGUGUGUACAUCUAAUUGUUAGUUGUCCUGAUGGCGUCCCGAUGACGUGGCGUCCUGAUGGCGUCCCGAUGACGUGGCGUCCUGAUGGCGUCCUGUUGGUCUGCAGACAAGGAGAAGAGACGUGAGGAGGAUCAUCAGGAUGUGUUCGUUUGUACAUCUAAUUGUUAGUGUGUCUGUGUGUACAUGUAAUUGUUAGUGUG
ensembl:lncRNA